UACGUAGGGGGCAAGCGUUGUCCGGAUUUAUUGGGCGUAAAGAGCGUGUAGGCGGCUUUGCAAGUCCGCUGUGAAAACUCGAGGCUCAACCUCGAGACGCCGGUGGAAACUGCAAAGCUAGAGUCCGGAAGAGGAGAGUGGAAUUCCUGGUGUAGCGGUGAAAUGCGCAGAUAUCAGGAAGAACACCCGUGGCGAAGGCGGCUCUCUGGGACGGUACUGACGCUGAGACGCGAAAGCGUGGGGAGCGAACAGG
rnacentral:rRNA from 1 species